rnacentral:rRNA from 1 species
AGAGUUUGAUCAUGGCUCAGAACGAACGCUGGCGGCGUGCCUAACACAUGCAAGUCGAACGCGAAAAGCAGUAAUGCUGAGUAGAGUGGCGCACGGGUGAGUAACACGUAACUGACAUGUCCUAGAGACAAGGAUAACCAUUCGAAAGGAUGGCUAAUACUUGGUAAGCCCACGGUUUUGGAGCUGAGGGAAAAGGGUCG